rnacentral:rRNA from 1 species
UGGGGAAUAUUGCACAAUGGGCGCAAGCCUGAUGCAGCCAUGCCGCGUGUGUGAAGAAGGCCUUCGGGUUGUAAAGCACUUUCAGCGAGGAGGAAGGUGGUGAGCUUAAUACGCUCAUCAAUUGACGUUACUCGCAGAAGAAGCACCGGCUAACUCCGUGCCAGCAGCCGCGGUAAUACGGAGGGUGCAAGCGUUAAUCGGAAUUACUGGGCGUAAAGCGCACGCAGGCGGUUUGUUAAGUCAGAUGUGAAAUCCCCGGGCUCAACCUGGGAACUGCAUUUGAAACUGGCAAGCUAGAGUCUCGUAGAGGGGGGUAGAAUUCCAGGUGUAGCGGUGAAAUGCGUAGAGAUCUGGAGGAAUACCGGUGGCGAAGGCGGCCCCCUGGACGAAGACUGACGCUCAGGUGCGAAAGCGUGGGGCAGCAAACAGGAUUAGAUACCCUGGUAGUCCAGCGCUGUAAACGAUGUCGAUUUGGAGGUUGUGCCCUUGAGGCGUGGCUUCCGGAGCUAACG